GAAGGCGGUGGUCCGCCAUUUCGUGGACGCCAGGGGACGGAGCGCAUCUGCGGAAGCAGGUUCCCGAAGGGCGCGGGUGGGCCUGUCGGAGUGUUGGGAUUUGAGCUUCGGCUGUGUGAACCCAGGAUCUCGAAAUGCAUCGUGAUUCCUGUCCAUUAGAUUGUAAGGUGUAUGUAGGUAAUCUUGGAAACAAUGGGAACAAGACUGAAUUAGAACGGGCUUUUGGCUAUUAUGGACCACUCCGAAGUGUGUGGGUUGCUCGAAACCCUCCUGGCUUUGCGUUCGUUGAAUUUGAGGAUCCCCGAGAUGCCGCUGAUGCUGUCCGAGAGCUUGAUGGAAGAACACUAUGUGGCUGCCGUGUAAGAGUGGAACUUUCGAAUGGUGAAAAAAGAAGUCGGAAUCGUGGCCCACCUCCCUCCUGGGGUCGUCGCCCUCGAGAUGAUUACCGCAGGAGGAGUCCUCCACCUCGGCGAAGAGUCACCAUCAUGUCUCUUCUCACCACCCUCUGAAUCUGCAUUAGCCAGUCAACUAGCCCUUUCAGCGUCAUGUGACCAGCGCGCCCCAUUCAGCUUGGCUGGUGUCGUUUCACAUGACCCAGGCUGGCCAGUCGUCAGGUUGCACCGCCCUUUGGUUCCCGAGCAUGCUGUUUUCUCUCAGCCUUCUCUCCAACCUUAACCAAAUCGGCAGCAGCCACCUCGACCGCCCACACAUUCCUGGCCAAUCAGCUCAGCUGUUUAUUUACCAAAUGUCUUCACAACAACUACAGCAGCAGCCUUCGGCUAACAAAAAAGCAGGAAAAAUCCACAACACCCCCUUCGCCAACCAACUAAAUCCAACGCAACAUCUGGCAAAACCUUUUCAGCAAAUUCUUCCUGGCCGUCAGUCCGGCAGCCUCACCUCACCAUUUCUAGCUUGUUGAAACCCAAAACUAAUCUCCAAGAAGGAGAAGCUUCUCUCGAAGCCGGAGCAGGUCACUUUCUAGAGAUAGGAGAAGAGAAAGGUCUCUGUCUCGCGAGAGAAAUCACAAGCCGUCUCGAUCCUUCUCUAGGUCUCGUAGCCGAUCUAGGUCAAAUGAAAGGAAGUAGAAGACCAGUUUGCAAAAGAAGUGAUGUACAGGAAAGAACUUCAUUUGACAGGAGUAUGUACAGGAAAUUCAAGUUUGUUUGAGACUUCAUAAGCUUGGUGCAUUUUUAAGAUGUUUUAGCUGUUCAAAUUUGUUUUGUCUCUUGGAACGGUGACACACAACGAUGUAAUUCUCUGUGGUUCCAAAUGGAUCCUAGGAGGCAUGUAAUAUCAAAAAGUGUUACUUUACAAUGUUCCCUUAAGCAAGAUUGAAUUUGCUUUGAACUUUAGUUUUUCAUAGACUGAAAUAAACCUAGAUAAUGCCCAGUUAAAGUGUGAUGUGCUAAUGAUAUAGAAAGAGCUGGCAGAAAUGGAAAAAGCUGUAGUUUCUCUAGUAGCUGGGAUACGAGUGGAGCUGUGGGGGAAUGAUAAGCAGUCUUUAAAAAGCUGCUGUGAACACAAGCCAACAGGUAAAGGGUGGGAACUGCACUCCAAAGGUUUGCAAAGAGGUUCCUCACCGAUUGCUAUAGAUGGACAAAAAGCUGUUUGUAACAUUUUAUUUGAAAUGGAAGGCUUUAAGUUAGCAGUGUCCUAACAGUUUAAGGGUACAUUGUAGAGCUGAACUUUUGAGUUACUGUGCAAGAUAUCUUUUUCAUGCUGUCAUUUGUAAUAUGUUUGUGAGAAUCCUUGGGAUUAAAGUUUUGGUUACAAAUUGUUGUUUAACUUGAAAGCCUGUUUUUCCUUGCACACUCAGAUCUGUGAGCUUGGUAUCAAGUCCAAGUAUAACAUUCCUAUUGGAAGCCAUACUUAUAUUUUCUUGUAAAGUGCUUUUGGAUUAAUAAAAUACUAGCAUAAUUGUGUAGUGGUCAGUUGAACCCACUGUUAACAUUGUUCUUAUCCCUGGGGAAGCAGUUUGGUUACCCAGUUCUUUCUUUGUAAGAAACUUAACUGAGAGGCACUGGAUUAGUGAAUAAAAAUUUUUUCCCCUUUGGUUGUUAUCUAAGAGUUAGACAUUCUUUAGGAGUUGAAGCCAGUUCAGGAUCAUGACACUGACUGACAUUUUAAAAUAGCACCAGUGUGGUGUGUUGUAACUCUUUAAGUUGCCCGUAAAAAGUGGCUUUGAUCUUCAGCAUGAAAACAUUUCAACAAAGUUUUAAACGUGGAUUUCAUUUUAUAACUUGAGGUCUUGCAUGGGAUUCCAAACUGAUCCAUCAUGAUGUAAAAUCCACCAUAUGGUUCAAUGUAACGAUGCACAGUUGAAUAUGGAGGCAUGCAUCCCCUUUCUCUUAGAAGUCUGGAGGAGUUGUGGUUUCAGAUUUGUGUGUGUGCAAUUAGAUUAAAUCAUAAUGCAACAGU